rnacentral:rRNA from 1 species
AUGUUGCUUGAUAAAUAUAACCUCAGGCAGCACCUGUACAUGACACAGAUUUAUGAUAUAAGAGAAAAGUGGGCGAAGCCUUAUUUCAAGGGCGUGUUCUGUUCGAAGAUGACAAGCACCCAAUGGAGUGAGAGGGUGAACCAUAUGCUGAAGAUAUGCGUGCCGCCAGCCAGCCCGAUGCACAUGUUUGUCAAGCAGUAUAUGAGACUUCAGUUUGACAGGGAGAGAGAGGAGAGCUAUGAGGAGAAAAAAACUAUGAUUGUAGGUUUAUGCAAUUGA